UGAAGAAAGCUAUGUUGGAUGUUGGGUGCAGAGACCAAGAACAAAAAGGAUUAGCUCUGUGCUCACAGGAUGGCGACGAAUAAUGACAUGGCAGCACCUCCUACGAGUGCUGGACUAGACUGCAUACAGGUGCUGCUUCGUCAGGUCGAUUCUUCCACGCAAGACGGGGAGGCCUUCAUCGAGCUUCAUGGAACCCUUCGUUGCUCCUUGCUUCUUCCGGCGGUUCUCAUGAUUUCGUGUG